GUCUUGGUGGCUCAGUUGGCAGAGCGCUGGAGUUGGUAUCUAUUCAGAGGCCGUGAGUUCAAGUCUCACCCAAGGCA